GACGAACGCUGGCGGCGUGCUUAACACAUGCAAGUCGAACGGAAAGGCCCUGCUUUUGUGGGGUGCUCGAGUGGCGAACGGGUGUGUAACACGUGAGUAACCUGCCCUUGACUUUGGGAUAACUUCAGGAAACUGGGGCUACUACCGGCUAGGAGCUCCUGCUGCAUGGUGGGGGUUGGACCGCUUCGGCGGUUGGGGAUGGACUCGCGGUUUAUCAGCUUGUUGGUGGGGUAGUGGCUUACCAAGGCAUUGGCGGGUAGCCGGCCUGAGAGGGUGACCGGCCACAUUGGGACUGAGGUACGGACCAGACUCCUACGGGAGGCAGCAGUGGGGAGUAUUGCACAAUGGGCGGAAGCCUGAUGCAGCAACGCCGCGUGCGGGAUGACGGCCUUCGGGGUGUAAACCGCUUUCGCCUGUGACGAAGCGUGAGUGACGGUAAUGGGUAAAGAAGCACCGGCUAACUACGUG
rnacentral:rRNA from 1 species